rnacentral:lncRNA from 1 species
CCAAUCGGAGCCCGAGCCGGAGCCAGAGCCCGAGCCGAGAUGGGUCUCGCCUUUCUUGGAAGCCUUUUGAGUCAGCAGGGCGACGUCGCCCGAGGCUCCGCCUCCGCUCCUCCCCAAGCAAAGUAACAAAGUAACUGAGGAGCAGCCUCUGCCGAGUGAGCAGAGCUGCGGCUGUGGGCAGCCAGCCGCACAGAAGACCCUUUGGGCCCCGAGGUAGUUUGGUUUCUUUGAAGAGGAAAGAGGGGUUGGCGGGCAGCUGUGGAGGCUCCGCCCUGAGCCUGCGAGGCCCAGCUUGCUACUCCCUGGUGGAUUCCACAGCCACCACCACACCCCCACCCCACCCCCACCCCCGCAACUCUUUGCAAAGCUGCUUGAAAAGUCUCCACAUGGAUUUGGUGGCAGCGGCGGCGGCACUGCCUGCUUUUGUGGCGCUCUUGUUUCUCUCCCUUUGGCCUCUUCUGGGGCCAGACCAAGGCCAGUUCUCUGCAGCUGAGUGUCCCUGGUGGCUUGCGGGUGGGUUGGGCGUCCGGCGCCCCGACGAAUGACCCCAGCCCCAGCCCCGGGAUUGUGCGAUGUGGAGCUGGCUCCUUGUCUGGGCGGGGAGCAAGGAUUUGGGGAAACUUUCGCGGCCCUCUGAGGUGAGGUGGUCACAGGGUAGAAGAAGAGAUGACCUGGAGUUUGUGUCACAUGGGACGCAGGACACUGAGCUGGGGUCCACUUGGCGCAGGUAACUUUGGUCUUCACGAUCCGAUCCAGUGUUCUUCCCUGAGGCUCUCUUGGGGAGCAGGUUGGCACGACUGUGCUGUAGUGUAUGGAGACAUUGCUUUUCCGGGGGAACUAGUGGCCUUGGUGUCCAGCGCAGGCUGCACUAGGUUAUCGGGGAAGAGAGAAAGAAAGAGUAGGUAGGUUUCUGGGGACAACUGCUCUGUUACUCGCGGUGCUGGAUUGUUGCUGUCUGCCACCAGAGUGUUCCAAAAAUGCUCCGGGGAAGCCAUUGUCAGAAACGCAAAGGCACUGACUGACCUUGGCGCUCUUUGCCAGGUGCUUUUGUCUUGGGAAUAACCUUCCUUGACUCUUGUCCAACUACUUCCCCAUCUCUCCCCUAGUCCCCAUUCUCCUCUCCCAGCGCUGCAUUGCUCCUGGGUUGGUCCUGUGGGUUAGGGCACUGCUUGGAAUAUGUGUUUGUUGGCAGAGUCUUUUAAGAUGUUUUGAUUCUAAGGAUCUCUGCAGAAUUGUCCUGUGCAGCCAGGUCUGGGCGCCCAGUCCCAGGAUCCUGAGCCACCAGUAGGAGCCCGCUCUUCUGCAAAGCCAAGGAGAAGCUGGCUCCCCACCUCUCAGAGCCAGCCUGCUUGAUGGUGGCUCUAAACAACUACUGGUCACUGGGGAACCCUGAAAGAGGGAUGAGAGGGGAUGAGAGUGGUCUUUCAUAUUAGGCCUUUGGGUUCUAAGGAAAGUCAUUCAAAUGAGUCCAUGACCUCUGUUUUCCUGGACCCGUCCUCUGUUCUCUUCCAGUUUUGUUAUUCUUUCUAUAGGUUGGUUGCUUCUAUCCUUCUCUCCUCAGGGGGGUGGGGGCUCUGAAGUUUCACCAGGUGGACGCUGGGGAGUGGGCUCCAGGGCGCUUUUCUGCCUCCCACUGAUUAUGACAAGUUUUCUGGCUAACCCACCCAGCUCAGUUUGGCUGGUGGGCACAUCUGCUGCCUUGGUUCCAGGUGCAGAUGGAAACGCAGCAGUGGCCAAGAGCUGAUGGUGAAGAAGGAAAAAGUGACAGCGACGCUCCUGGCUGAGCCUGCAGGAUACAGAGAAAGAACUUAUUUUGUCCUUGACAAUUUCUCUCAUUGUUGUGACUACCUGGUUUCCUGGAAAUAAAUUCACAUUGCUUUCCAGAGACAUUAUUUAUUUACUUUCCAUCUCCCCACCGCCCCCCAGUAGAAAAGGAGUAAGACCACAACCUGAGUCUGAUCAAGUGGCAGCAUGUACUGUCCACCCAGGCAGCGGUUAUGAAAUGAUAGCACGCAGAAGGAAAGCCAUGUAUAUAUUCGAUGGGCAUAGAGGGCAACAGCUCUAUGCAAUGAGUGAUCAGGUGGCUUAAUUAAAUUCUCUUUGGACUAAGUGUUACUGCAUGCAUCAUUAUUCAAUUCCAUGUUUGGAACCAUGCUUGAUGUGACUCAUUAUAUGUGACUCAUUAUAUGCAGGCAAGUUGGAGAGAGCAUUGAUUUGUGCACACUGUUUGUCAUUCCACGGAGAGCCUAACUUGAACGGGCAUGUAGUUUGUUAAUUGAAUGUUUGAACUCUACCAGUUGUAUGAUUAAACUCACAUGUAUUCAAGAGUUGUAACUUAAUGCCCCAACAGCUGAUGGAAACUUUUUUGUAAACAAACUUUUUAAAAGUGUUAUUAAUCCUUUCAUGAACAAGUAAAUAUUAAACAAAUGCAGAAGUGCUUUUCUAAUACCUGCAGUUAGAUUUCUCAAAUGAACAACCAGAUUCUUAGAUAUUCAGUUCUAAGUGAUUUAGCUAAUAUGACUGGAUUUUCUUUAGUGGCAAAACAUAACAUUUGACUUUAAGUUAAAUUUUAUGCACAGAAUGUACAGUCCUAACAAAUGCAAUUCUCACAGGAUUGUAUCUCAAAAAUUUGCCAAUAGUAUCUACAUAUAGAUCUGUAUAUGAGUUAAGCCUGUAGAAGCGUCAUGGCAAAUUUUCCUACUAUUAUAACUAUGGAAAAAAAUUAAAUCACGUCUUUGGCCUUUUGUUCAACUGUUGAUCCAGCUUUUUCACUUUGUGUGGAGAAUAAAUUGCAGCUUUUAGAUGCAGUCUUCUCAAUGACCUAGAGAGGGACUAUUGUCUCUUUAGUGUGAUGCAAGUCCGGAAAUGCAGCUCAAGAUCAGUCUGGAUGCCAGUUCCUGGCAGGUCCCAAUGCAGAUCCCUGAGGACCUUGCAACUCAUUUAAGCAGUGCCACUUCCCUUGUUCCUGACUCCUUGUUAUCUCUGACACAAAAUUAAUUGCUCUUAUGAUUAUUUCCUAUUAGGGAGAGUCACUGUAGCUUGUUUGUUUUAAGGUUUGCCUUUUACUUUUCUGGUUUUGAUUGGCCAGCAUCCUUGGUGCCUCCAUGCCUUCAAACUCCAAGUUCUAAUCACUAGUAAUGAUAUGUAACUGCACAUUUCUGGGACUGGUUUUCCUCUCCCUAGUUCCCUUAUAUCUGACUGCUGAUUUUCCUAGAUUGUGAGAUGUCAUUUGUGUCUGGCCUGCCAAGAUGGAAGGAGGCAGGUUGGGCUGCUCUUUGGGCAUUGGCAUGUGUGCAGUUGACAGCUCUUCUCUUGGUGAAUUUGAAAAAUAAAUCAACCCCUCUGCUAUUCCACCCCUCUCCCACACUUCCUCCUACUCCUCUAGCAACAAAACGUUCCACAUACAUCUAUACAAACUUACAACUUUUGUGUUUUCUUUUGGAGCCAGAUAUAUCUUAAAAAUUGGCAAUAGGACUAUCCACUACCCAAGGUCAAUACCAAUUCUCCCAUCCAAUCUUACAUGUCCAACAAUGAUGACUGAUUACAUAUUUUAUAGCCUUAAAUAUAUAGUCAUCCAGCAUAAUUUCAUAUAGAGGAAGUGUGUUGGUUCCUACUAAUAUUUUUGAAGUGCAUAUUUUUGAAGUUUACUCCAGGUGUUAUUAAAGAGAGUGAAUCAUACUAAAUUUGGAUCUGUGCUGCUCCCAAGUCUCUUAUUUGCUCUUCAUGAAGGUCAGGAAGAGGAAUGUUGGAAGGUGGAUAACAGGAAACAUCAAGGGAGUUUACAGAUUAUCCUUACAGACAAAAGAAAGAGCACAGGGAUUGUGUGUGUAUAUGUGUAUUUUUGCUCUCUUUUGUUAACAAGGAAAAAAAAGUCCUAUUUUUGACUUAUGUAUUGGGAUCAGCCUUUGACUUUGUCCAAACAGAUUUAUUUCUUAUUCUGUCAAUGUAAAAAUUUCCCUCUGUGUAUUCCUUUCACUCUCUCCCAUUUGAUCAUAUGUAUUUGGUCUGUGUUCUUAUAUCAAAUGAUGUUUCUCUACCUAACAAGGUUGUAAUUGCUUUUGAAACUGACUUGUUUUUUCAUCAGAAUCCAUGCUGUUUGUCAUGGUUACUGAAAAAUAGUACAAGACAUAUCAAUUUAUGAUAUAUCUUUAAAUGGUAUUUGAUAACAAAGUGAAUAAUACAUCAGACAGGCUACUUUUUAUUUCAGCUGAAGUCAAAAGCAAACCUCCAUAUCUAUGAAAUAAUCUUUUAAUGUCAUAGAAUGUUUAUUUGUUAUGCUUACCUGUUUGUAAAUGAAAGAGAGACUUUAUGUUUCAUUUUUUAAAUGGGAAUGGAAAACUAGAGUACUACAUUGGCUGAUUAUUUUUGAAAUAAGUGAAAUAAAUU